UCCUGGUUAGCUCAGUUGGCAGAGCGCUCCACUGGAAGUGGGGAGUUCCUGGUUCGAUAGCAGGACGAGGAA
rfam:Ixodes scapularis strain Wikel colony gcontig_1107728705262, whole genome shotgun sequence.